AACUUUAUACAAAAAGCAAUACAUGCUUUUUUCAGUUAAUUUUGUUCAGUGAAAGAAAUUCAGUGGGCUUGAACAAGUGCAUCGAAAUCUGGCUGAAUGUCUGAGGUGGAUAUGCGAAGGACAGCUGACAGGUGAUCAUAAGGGUCUGCAGCUUAACUAGCAAACCAUCAGCGGCCCGCACCCACUGAAUCAGACAAGUUCUUGUAUUUGUCUGCGUGUUUAGUCCCUUAGUGCCGAUUCAAAUUGUAAUCCUUCAACACAGCGACCUGUUCUCCACAAACUAAGAACACAGCUUUGCCUUUGACUUCAGUAAACAGAUACUUUGAAACAAUGUACCAUAUUGUUGACUUUUUGGACACGGGAGACACAGAAGUUGUUCCAGCCUCUUGGGUGGAAAAUGGAAGAAGCUACUGGCCUCCCUACAAAGCCAGGGAGCGAUGCAACAGGGCCAUAAUGGGAGCAGACCCACCUGAAGAAUCGUGGGCAAAUCAUAACAUCAGGAUCCGGGCAACUAAAAUGAGGCACGGCUGCUGCUACCAAGGGCACUGCUGACAUCAGAUCUUCAAACUGAAGAUGAGGAGGACCAACGUCCAGCUUAUAGGAGAAGGAAGAGAAGAGGCACAAACAGAAUUUGGGACUCAGAGAGCGAAGAUGACAGCACACAUCUUCAACCCAGAGGGGUAAACACC